rnacentral:rRNA from 1 species
ACUAGCACGUAAGUGCUCUGAAGGGUUGUUGAAGACGACGACGUUGAUAGGCGGGAUGUGGAAGCGUAGUAAUGCGUUGAGCUAACCCGUACUAAUUGCCCGUGAGGCUUAACCAUACAACACCGAAGGUGUUU